GACGAACGCUGGCGGCGUGCUUAACACAUGCAAGUCGAACGAAGUGGCGCACGGGUGAGUAACGCGUAGUCAACCUGCCCUUCAGAGGAGAACAACAGUUGGAAACGACUGCUAAUACCGCAUACUGAAGGAGGGGCUUGCGUCUGAUUAGCUAGUUGGAGGGGUAACGUACCACCAAGGCGAUGAUCAGUAGGCGGGUCUGGAGGAAGGACGGCCAAAAUGGGACUGAGGAACGGGCCAGAAUCCUACGGGAGGGAGCAGUGGGGAAUCUUUCGAAAUGGACGGAAGUCUGACGGAGGAAAGCCGGGUGAGUGAUGAAGGCCUUCGGGUUGUAAAGCUAUGUUAAGCGGGAAGCGGUACCGGAAUAGAAAGCAACGGCUAACUACGUGCCAGCAGCCGCGGUAAUUC
rnacentral:rRNA from 1 species